rnacentral:rRNA from 1 species
GAAUAUUGCGCAAUGGAGGAAACUCUGACGCAGCAACGCCGCGUGAAGGAAGAAGGCCUUCGGGUUGUAAAGCCCUUUUGUUGGGAAAGAAAAGCAGUCGGCUAAUACCCGGUUGUUCUGACGGUACCCACAGACUAAGCACCGGCUAACUACGUGCCAGCAGCCGCGGUAAUACGUAGGGUGCAAGCGUUAAUCGGAAUUACUGGGCGUAAAGCGUGCGCAGGCGGUUUUGUAAGACAGAGGUGAAAUCCCCGGGCUCAACCUGGGAACUGCCUUUGUGACUGCAAGGCUAGAGUACGGCAGAGGGGGGUGGAAUUCCGCGUGUAGCAGUGAAAUGCGUAGAUAUGCGGAGGAACACCGAUGGCGAAGGCAACCCCCUGGGCCUGUACUGACGCUCAUGCACGAAAGCGUGGGGAGCAAACAG